ACUUGUUCUUGCCCGCGUAGCUUUCGUUAUCGCACGCGUUCGUGAAUACGGAAUGCACAGGGCGUUCAUCUCAAUGCCAACAUGGUUGAUCCAAAAGCAGAAGUCAGACACACUGUCGGUCAGGCUGCGUCGCUUGUUGGUUGAACACUUGUUUCUUCUUCAGCCCUGGAGACUCGAGUCCUGCGGGUGAAGGACGCCUGCCCAGUGAUAUGUCCUCCUGAGACACCAUCACCUGAUCCAUGAACCCACGGGGAGAACCAAAGCAACGAUGAAAGGUAUUCGGAAAACUAGAAGAGGGAAGUCUCCAAAGACACCAGGAGAGACGGUCGCCUCAGACACCCUUUCAUCUCAAGCCACUGGAAAUGCAGAUCCCGUGCCCUGCAGCACAUCACCGUCCCCUACCGGAGCAGAACAGGUGGAGCUCCGGGACACGGAACUCGUCACUCAGCUAAAGACGUCAGAGGUGGAUUCUCCGUGCUCUCCAAUCAGAAGUCAAAGCAGCCGUCGGGGGGCCGAUGCUUCCCGGCCGAGAGCAGUUGGUAAACGGCGGGUU